CCUACGGGCUGCACCAGUAAGGAAUACUGGUCAAUGGAGGGAACUCUGAACCAGCCAUGCCGCGCGCAGGAAGACUGCCCUAUGGGUUGUAAACUGCUUUUAUCCGGGAAUAAACCUACUUACGUGUAAGUAGCUGAAUGUACCGGAAGAAUAAGGAUCGGCUAACUCCGUGCCAGCAGCCGCGGUAAUACGGAGGAUCCAAGCGUUACCCGGAUUUAUUGGGUUUAAAGGGUGCGUAGGCGGCCUGUUAAGUCAGGGGUGAAAGACGGUAGCUCAACUAUCGCAGUGCCCUUGAUACUGAUGGGCUUGAAUGGACUAGAGGUAGGCGGAAUGAGACAAGUAGCGGUGAAAUGCAUAGAUAUGUCUCAGAACACCGAUUGCGAAGGCAGCUUACUAUGGUCUUGUUGACGCUGAGGCACGAAAGCGUGGGGAUCAAACAGGAUUAGAUACCCCUGUAGUC
rnacentral:rRNA from 1 species